GGUAACAAAAAUCAGUGUUGAACCUGAGACAGUCUGCAAAAUGUGAUGUUUGUUCUUAAAAGAGCAGAGCCAAAUCUUAAAUGCGGCCUUUCAAGUUUGUCAAGCUAUCUUAAAAGUUAUACUUUAAAAAACAAACACAUUUACAGUCUUUUGACAUAUAAUCAAAGUUGAGUUAGUAUGUAACAUUCAAAGUUGGUUUAGUGCUUGUAGCUUUAACAGCUUAAGACCAAUGUCUAAUUCAAAUAAUUAUCAAUCAAGCCUAUGGAGCUUUAAGCAGUUAUAGUUCAGAAAGUAGAAAAGGUAUCAGAAAUGUAUACAAACUUUUUUGUAUACAAAACUAGACCGUCUACAGAGGAAUUUGUUAUAUGUUCAAUGGAAUUGGUUAUAUCAACAUGUUUUCUUCAAGCAAACUGAGGACAUUGAGCUUGCAUGUUUUAAAUUAGUUUUGGUCUCUGUAGCAUUUAAGGUUUUGGCCCUAUAUAUGGCAGCAGAAGGCUAAUUAAUAAUAAUUAUUAUUAUUGCGAAUAAGCUUUCAGCAAGCACACCUAAUAAUUAUAAUAAUAUAAACUUGCUUACUUAAUGUAAUCCUUCGCCAACAGCACUGGGUCAGGUUAUGUUAACAGGAUGAAUGGCUUGCCUGACUACCCAAACUGCUUGCCCCCCAGGCAAAAAAAAAAUCUCUGUAAGGAGUCUGAAUGUGAGUACACAUAAGAUGAUUUCAAUAUUGCAAAACCAAUCUUAUUGUUCUAAUUUGUCCCAGAAACCGCCACAGCCAGAACACGUGUGAGUAAAGUUAUGUUUCCGAAAUGCCAUUGGCUUCAGUACAGAUUGGUGAGAGAUAAACUGAUCACUAAUGACUUGGUUUUUAAAAACAUCCCCUAAUAUUGAUGUCAACAAACAACUGCAAUGGAAUGAAUCUCAGACUGAAGUGGCAAACAAUAGUACAGUCAAAUAUUUCUGUUUGAUUCAUUAGACCAAUAAAUGGCAUGGACGGGGUAACCUUACAGAACAUGAGUGUAGCCAGAAUAAUAUAAAACAGAAUGUAAUGGACAGUUCAGUUACUAUACAACAUUUAGCAAAAGUUGUGUCUUUGCAUGUAUGCGCCGCUCACCUGGGAAUUUCUUAUUAUCAACAAUGAUUAGCGCUUCAAAACAAAUCAACUAUUAGUAUUUUCAACAAUAAAUAUAUAUAUAUACUCAGACUCGUUGGACCUUUCCAUAUACAGUGCCGAGGUAACAUACCACAGAAAUACAAGGAUUUACGAGGGCUAGACAGAACUAUAACGGACAUUGUCAUGCAAACAAUGACGCGCUACGGGUAUAAAUCCACAGACACAUGAAACAUCCAACCACCACCCCACUUUCACCAGCUCUACAGCCCAGUAAAUUAGCAUGUAUGCUGUCACUGUAGGCCGACUGACACUAUGUGCUGCACUGUGAGUGAUUUUAAGGGGGCAGGAUGGCUUUACACCCUAUUGUCAACACAAGCAAUGGUCCCACACUGUAAAUAUAUCUACCCGGUUAAAAUACUCCUAACGGGGGGGAAGCUGUUCCAGCUGGUGGAGCCUAUACAUUCAGACAGUCACUGUAUAGUUUUCAGCAGAAAGGCAGACGUAAUGAACAACAUACUGGACACGCUAAAUGAAUUAGGUUAUCACUGUUCCUUCACGGCUGCAUACACUAAGACACUAAGCAUCAGGUCAAAAUGCACUGCAUGCAUACCCAGCCAUCUUUCCCUACUGUUGUAAUCUCCCCCCCCCAUCUACAUGCUGGGAACCCUCUUGUCUGCCGUCAUAUCUUUCUGUUUUCUCCAGUGUAAUGAAAUGCAGAAUGGAUUUGGGGGGAGUAAAAUGUAUUUUCAUUUAGAUUAAAAAAACAAGUGAUUGUGGAGGAAAGACAAUGGGUUUUGGCUGUUUAUGCCAGGUGCCCAGACAGAGGCCAGCCUCCAUCUGCUGGAGAGGCCCUGGUGGCAGCCAGUCAGACGGACACAUAUUAAUGUGGGAAAUCGUCUAGCCAUGCUCUCAGACCCCCACACACAUCACACUGCAUUUCAUCUCAAAGGAGCCCUGCCUAAAUCCCUCAUUUAUUAACCCUAUGGUGUGGCUGUGGGUGGAGCUGUAUAUGUUACGUAGGCUCUGAGUCAUAAACAGAUAGGGCCUCACUUUCCAGAUCAGAGAAGUAGUAUCUAGGACUGGAAGCAGGGAGGAAAGAGAAUUUAACUGAUAAGAGGUAAAUAUGGGAUUAAAUGUUAAGGUUAUGGAAUGUAAAUUAAUUGGAUUGGAUCUGAUGUGUUCAUGGCUCUGAGUUGUUUAAAUAUAUUUGGAAUAGGCGGCCCAAACAGUGACCCAUUUUCAAAUAGGUGAUGUUACAGACAAACAAUAAAACCUCUACAUUUGUAUACUUCUUUUGCAUCAGCCAGCAAUGUAGCACUACCUUCGUUUUAAUUAAGUUUUCACAAAGCAAUAAUUUAGAGCUAUGACUCAUGCUAAGAAAAGAAUGGAGCUUACACUACUUAUGUUUGUCCAAUUUUGGUGCUUUUAAAUAUUGUACAGUCUACCAUAUAGCAAAUAGCAUAUUGACAAAGACAAAUUAAUAUCCAGUGAAGGGUUACUGGAUCAAAACCCUGAGCGUGCAAGGUGGAAACAGUUGGUCAGUCCUCUUUUCUCAGUCACACUUAUCGGGUAAAACAAGGGUUAAGGUAAAAAAGCAUGCUAUGUCCGACAUCUUGUCAAAAUCUCAGCCUAUACCCUUCAUGAACAUCCCACACAUUCACAAAACAGUCCAGUAAAAAGUUCUGGAGAAUCCUAGGUGACUGUAUAGCCAGGCCAAGCCCUGUCUGUACUGCAGCAGGCUGAUCCAGCCAGUCCAGCUAUGGUGCAGUCUACUCUGUCCUCUCCACACAUGUCUAUGGUGCAGUCUCCUCUGUCCUCUCCACACAUGUCUAUGGUGCAGUCUCCUCUGUCCUCUCCACACAUGUCUAUGGUGCAGUCUCCUCUGUCCUCUCCACACAUGUCAGUGCUGCAGUCUACUCUGUCCUCUCCACACAUGUCUAUGGUGCAGUCUCCUCUCUCCUCUCCACACAUGUCAGUGGUGCAGUCUCCUCUCUCUCCACACAUGUCUAUGGUGCAGUCUCCUCUGUCCUCUCCACAAAUGUCAGUGCUGCAGUCUACUCUGUCCUCUCCACACAUGUCUAUGGUGCAGUCUCCUCUGUCCUCUCCACACAUGUCUAUGGUGCAGUCUCAUCUGUCCUCUUCACACAUGUACAAACCACAGCCAAGGUAGCUAGCUAGCUUGACAUUCAACAGGCCAGCGUAAAAGACAUCUCAGGACCAGAAAGUGGCUUCAAGUGGAUCGAGCUGCAGUGAGAUUGAUGACGGACACCUGUCCAUCCAAAACAGCUAACCCAUACAUAGGCCCUGACAUCAAGUAAUAUCUCACCACCCAGCAAACCUGGGGGCCUUAUCUUGCCCUCACAAUUGCCUCAGAUCACUAAGUAGUCAACUUUGGAGUCCAGAGAGCAUCCAGAGUAUGCCUGCCAAUUAUAUAUCCCUCAGUAUAUUUACUGCAGCGCAGGCCUAACUUUUAUUGUGAUCUUUAAUCAGAUCAACAGCUGUCAGAGACAGUAACCAGACUGUAAAAGGUAUAUGGCCAAUACGAAAAACACACAACUUAAAGUGCAGUGAAUUACUCAAUGAAUUAUAAAGGAUGCUUUGGCGUAGUACAGCCACAUUAACACAUGUCAAUAUACCACUCUUUCUUUCCACCCUACUCAGAAUUUAUUGAGUGGACAACAAUGAGUGUAGUGGUUUAAGUAGACCUUCUGAUAGUUCAUCAUCAUUAUCAUCAUCAUUAUUGACCUCCUGAUAGGUCUAUCAUCAUUAUAGACCUACUGAUAGGUCAUCAUCAUUAGCAUUAUCAUUAAAAACCUCCUGACAGGUCCAUCAUAAUUAUCUUCAUUAUAGACCUACGGAUAGGUCAUCAUCAUUAGCAUCAUCAUUAUAGACCUCCUGAUAAGUCAUCAUCAUUACUAUUAUUAUAGACCAACUGAUAGGUCCAUCAUAAUUAUCUUCAUUAUAGACCUCCUGAUAGGUCAUCAUCGUUAUAGACCUAUUGAUAGUUCAUCAUCAAUAUCAUUAUAGACCUAGUGAUGGGCCGUCACCAUUAUCAGCAUAGACCUCCUAACAGGUCCAUCAUUGUUAUCAUCAUUAUAGACCUCCUGAUAUGUCCAUCAUCAUUAUAGACUUCCUGAUAGGUCCAUCAUCACUAUCGUCAUUAUAGAUCUACUGAUAGGUCCAUCAUCAUUAUUAUCAUUAUAGACCAACUGAUAAGUAAUCAUCAUCAUUAUAAUCAUUACAGACAUCCUGAUAGGUCCAUUAUCAUUAUCAUCAUUAUGGACCUACUGAUUGGUCAUCCUCAUCAUUUUCGUCAUUACAGAUCUCCUGAUAGGUCAUCAUCAUUAUCAUCAUUACAGUCCUCCUGAUAGGCCAGCAUCAUUAUCAUCAUCAUCAUAGACCUCCUAAUAAGUCAACAUCAUUAUCAUCACUAUAGACCUACUAAUAGGUCAUCAUCCUUAACAAUUUGUAGACCAUCUGAUAGGUCCAUCAUCAUUACCAUAAUUGUAGACCUCCUUAUAGGUCCACAUCAUUAUAGACCUACUGAUAGGUCCAUCAUAAUUAUCAUCAUUAUAGAUCUACUGAUAGGUCAUCAUCAUCAGGAUACAUGUGCUUGGUCUUGAUGCUAUCUCUGGAAGCAGGGAAUCCAGAAAGCUGACAUUUUGUUUUCUCCUGUGAAGUUUCAGGCUCGUAUGUCCUUGUCUGUACAUAUCUGUUGGAUACAUAGGGUUGGUCUUGAUGCUAUCUCUGGAAGCAGGGAACCCAGAAAGCUGACAUUUUGUUUUCUCCUCUGAAGCUUUGGGUUCAUUCUAAUAACAGCCUCACACAGGCCCAAAGUUAGGAUAAAACAAACACCUACAAUGUCCUAUUUGACAGGGCUAUAAGCACCUUGAUUAACAAAACAGCUGUAGGCACAGGAUAAUGUUGGUGAUGAAGACAUUGCUUGACAAGAUGACCCCCCCCCCCCCACACACACACACACAACAGCAAUACAAGCAGCAGUACCACUUUCUCAACGACCUCAAUCCUGUGGGUUAAAAAAUGAUAAGCAACUCUUUCUAGACACUCCACUGUGCCCCCUAUCAUAAACUUUCAGAAAGAAAAUAAAAAGGGCAGUAAACUCAUUGCUCUUUGAUCUGAGGAGCAAGGCACUGCAGCUUGGCAACACACUUAAGCCACAGGCCAGCCAUAUGUGCAUUAGGUCUGAUUGUUAUAUUCCAUAUCUCAUGAUAGCAGCCAGCAUACAGGGGCUACUGUCAGUAGGGCACGUGACUCACUAGAACGGAACGGACCAAUCAGCUGAAACAGUUCUCUCUAUAACCCGUUUCUUCUCACCUCCGGGUCAUACACCGAACCCUAAUUACAUAAUGAAUGAAAUAGCCCACAAAUCAAGCAAAAUGUAUAUGGCACUGUCAGUCCCUUCAAUUAAUCCUCAUCUAUAGAUUUCGGGUACCACUGACGCGACCAACCAAUAUCACUGUUUGAAUGGAUGCUUUCUCCGGCAGAAACGAUGAUGCGAUUCUGACUACUGUCUCCGCAAUACAUUCCCUGUGAAUACCAUUCCGGGCUAUAGAUCCGAUUUAAGAAGACAUUAAUUCCAUCAAUACCACCCUGGUCCACCGGAACGUACACGGCGGCGUUUUAUGGUGCCUUCAGCGGGUACAGCUUGCUCUCAGUUUCAGGGCUCGCUGCCUUCCUCCGACAGCCCCCGGUCCACAUUCGCCGCGCUCCAUUCGCGGUUAGUGAAGUCUGC
ensembl:lncRNA